AUGAAGACCAUUCUUGGCAAUCAGACUAUUGACAUUCCAGAAAAUGCAGACAUCACUCUGAAAGGAUGCACAGUUAUUUUGAAGAGCCCCAGAGGAAGUUAGGGAGGGACUUCAAUUACAUCAAUGUAGGAUGCAUUCUCCUUGGAAAAGAAGAGGCGCUAGGUUGACAAAUGAUUGGGAAAUAGAAAGGAAGUGGCUACUGCUUGCACUAUUUGUAAUCAUGUACAGAACAUUAUCAAGGGUGUUACACUGGGCUUCCAUUACAAGAUGAGGUCUGUGCAUACUCCUUUCCCCAUCAACUUAGUUAUCCAGGAGCAUGGGUCUCUUGAUAAAAUCCAAAAUUUCUUGGGUGAAAAAUACAUCUGGAUGGUUUAGAUAAGGCCGGGUGUUGCUUAUUAAGUUAUCUUAAGUCCAGAAAAAUGUAUUAAUCCUUGAAGGAAAUGACAUUGAGUUUGUUUCAAAUUCAACUGCUUUGAUUUAGCAAUCCACAACAGUUAAAAACAAAGAUAACAGAAAACUUUCAGAUGAUCUGUAUGUCACUGAAAAAGGAACAGUUUAGCAGGCUGAUGAAUAA
rnacentral:lncRNA from 1 species